GCGGGUGUAGCUCAGUCUGGUCUAAAGCGCUGCCCUGUCACGGCAGAGAACGCCGGUUCAAAUCCGGUCACCCGCG
rfam:Parcubacteria bacterium GW2011_GWB1_45_10 TW89_C0006, whole genome shotgun sequence.